CCUACGGGUGGCAGCAGUGAGGAAUUUUGGACAAUGGGGGAAACCCUGAUCCAGCGACGCCGCGUGGAGGACGAAGGUCUUCGGAUUGUAAACUCCUUUUGUUCGGGACUAAGAAACCGGUAGAAAUACCGGGAGUGAAUGUACCGGAUGAAUAAGCCACGGCUAACUUCGUGCCAGCAGCCGCGGUAAUACGAAGGUGGCAAGCGUUACUCGGAAUUACUAGGCGUAAAGGGCAGGUAGGUGGUUCAGUAAGUCUGUUGUGGAAGCUCCCGGCUUAACCGGGAGAGGCCAACGGAAACUACUGGACUUGAGUGUAGGAGAGGGUACUGGAAUUCCCGGUGUAGCGGUGAAAUGCGCAGAGAUCGGGAGGAACACCAAUGGCGAAAGCAGGUACCUGGACUAUUACUGACACUAAGCUGCGAAAGCUAGGGGAGCAAACA
rnacentral:rRNA from 1 species